UACGAAGGGGGCUAGCGUUGCUCGGAAUCACUGGGCGUAAAGCGCACGUAGGCGGCUUUCUAAGUCAGGGGUGAAAUCCUGGAGCUCAACUCCAGAACUGCCUUUGAUACUGGAGAGCUAGAGUCCGGAAGAGGUGAGUGGAACUGCGAGUGUAGAGGUGAAAUUCGUAGAUAUUCGCAAGAACACCAGUGGCGAAGGCGGCUCACUGGUCCGGUACUGACGCUGGGCGGUGAA
rnacentral:rRNA from 1 species